CCUACGGGAGGCAGCAGUGGGGAAUCUUGCGCAAUGGGCGAAAGCCUGACGCAGCCAUGCCGCGUGAAUGAUGAAGGUCUUAGGAUUGUAAAAUUCUUUCACCGAGGACGAUAAUGACGGUACUCGGAGAAGAAGCCCCGGCUAACUUCGUGCCAGCAGCCGCGGUAAUACGAAGGGGGCUAGCGUUGCUCGGAAUUACUGGGCGUAAAGGGAGCGUAGGCGGAUAGUUUAGUCAGAGGUGAAAGCCCAGGGCUCAACCUUGGAAUUGCCUUUGAUACUGGCUAUCUUGAGUACGGAAGAGGUAUGUGGAACUCCGAGUGUAGAGGUGAAAUUCGUAGAUAUUCGGAAGAACACCAGUGGCGAAGGCGACAUACUGGUCCGUUACUGACGCUGAGGCUCGAAAGCGUGGGGAGCAAACAGGAUUAGAUACCCUGGUAGUCCACGCUGUAAACGAUGAGUGCUAGUUGUCGGCAUGCAUGCAUGUCGGUGACGCAGCUAACGCAUUAAGCACUCCGCCUGGGGAGUACGGUCGCAAGAUUAAAACUCAAAGAUAGUACGGCGNGAGAGAGCGACGACGACGACGACGGAGGAGGAGG
rnacentral:rRNA from 1 species